rnacentral:lncRNA from 1 species
GAAAUAGGAGUUUUCUCAGGAAAUCCAAGGACAAGAAUGCAGCUGAGGCUUAGGAAUAAACUAAAUGAAGGGCUCGCUGUCAAGAUCCUUUCUCCAUAUGUCACCCUGAGCUUGUCUGUGUUGACUUGGUUCUUUCCCUUUGCAGACUGACUCUCCCAGCUUCGCCAGUUUGGCUGGUGGAAACCACGACCCCUGGCAAGCCUCCUAUUUUGUUUGACACAGACCCUCAAGCAGAACAGAUGGGGACUGUCACUCAAGUUCUUGGAAAUUCAGCAAGGAGUUCCAGUGUCCUACAGUGAGAAGGAGGAAUCAGAGAUCUGACAUCAGCAGAACCUAACAAGAGAGUUCAGCUCAGUGGUCACCUCCUAUAGGCAGUGUUCCUCCGUUACCGCCGGCCCCCGUGGAGACCGGGCAGUCAGCCUGAGCCCUGGCAGCGGAGUGCCAUGAAACGGCAUUUACAGGUAUGUGACCUUCACCUCCUUCAUGAGG